GAGAUUGUCUCCCCGGUUGCAGGGGCCCACCACAACCCCCAGCCUCUCUCCACUCUCCUUUACCCUUUCCCAAAUCCACCACCGCGGUCCCCUCAUCCCCUCGCCCAAAUCCACCGCCGCUUCAUCAUUUCGAGGCGCGCUGCCAGAGGUUCGUCGGAGAUUGGGAAGGCAUUAUAGAAGUGGGAGGAGAGAACCCAACCCAAUCGGCGACCCAGGAUAGAGGGGCCUGAGCUCCGCGUGCGGUGACCACCAAGCGGAGGCAGAAGGCUGGCGUCCGGGGCCGCCGCUUCUCUGCCACCGCGUCCACGAAGCGAGGGUUUGAAUGGGAGGGACACCGCGCGUCUGUGCAGCUCGACUCCUAGCGGCGAAGUGUGAGAGCCAGAAGUGCCAUCUUCAGCGGUCGAGGAAUCGGGCCUCAAAUCACGGGGGGUGUGGGAGCAUGCUGAUUUCAGAGGGGCCGAGGUCAAACUAUGGCUGGCCGCCGGAGGCUGUCGCGCUCGUGCAGCUCAUAUUCUCUGCUAGCUUGGCGGGCCCCUUGUCUUCAAAAGGAAUGCUGGGUUUCUCGUAGUAACUGGCGCAGUGGCAUGGUUAGUUAGAGGAUCCUCUUUUUUUCUUGAAUAAUCUGGGAAUCUGAGCAUCUCGGUAUUAGAAAGAGCUUACAGGAUAAUUUAUGGGGGAAAGGGGAUAAAAUCACAGCAAUGUCUCGGAAACAUGCUUUCUUCUAGAGACAAGGGGGCAGUGCCAUCUGUGCGUCACGGCCACCUAGUGUGGUGGAGUUAGAUCUGGGAAAGCGUUAUCUCGAGUGGUUGAGGAACUAGCCCGCAAAUCCUCGGCCUCACUAAAUUCUAAAGUCAAAGCAACAUUUUUGAGGUUUUGUGCACACGCCCAAGCAAGAUGGUUCAACACCCACUUUCAAAUGCUCAUGCCGGAAGAAACAAGGGGGAAAUACUGGAAAAAUAGUUGCAAUCAGGAUGAACAAGGCUUUUGUAAAAGAGAAGGCGUCUGAGAGGGCACAUCAAGAUAGAAGCUCACCCCUCAGGUCCAUGGCCACCAAAACGGGGGCAACAAUUGUGACAAUGGAAGAGAGGACAGAUGGAGAAGGAGAGGUCAAGGGGGAGGUUUGGGGGUCUGCGACUGGAAAGGGGAAGGAGGAUUUGGUGCGUCGGCGUGAGGCUACUGCUAAUGUCAGUAGGGGGAGCUGAAGUUACGAUUGUGAUAGACUCGCCCCUGGGGGCCAUGUGCGUGAGGGGGCCAUUUCUUUCCUUUUUGGGUUUGCCAGCUGGAUCUGGGAGAGGUCCACUACCAAUAUUAGGGUGUGUGCUCUGGACCGCUAGCCAGCCAACGGUUACUGGCUAGUCGCGUCCAUAAAAAAAUAUGCGUUUUCUUGAACCGUGGAAAAUAUUCAUAUCUCAUUCAGUUCGUCUCUCACAAAAAAUGCUUCGAAAAUGACCCUUGUUUCGUUUUUCCCUC